CGGAAGGGCGAGGACUAGCGGGUAUCGCGAGAGCAGGCGGGUGGCGAGGUGCUUCCCGGCGCUUCCAGUGUAGGUGUAUUUGCGCGUGGGAGUUUAAGGUAGGCUUCACUCCUUAGCUUCUGGUGUCGACCAACUAAGAUUAAGAAAAGCCCCUUUCCCAACUCUAACACCUUGGUACAGGUUUCAUACCUCUUACUUGAAACCCUUGGCUUCACCUAGGAUAGAGAAACGGCUUCAGAGAAGCAGAACCAAAAGACUAUAAAUAGCUACGUACAAAGAGACUUACCCUGAGGGAUUGAGUGGCUCGGGUGAUUGUGCAGAUUUGUUGUCCGAAAGCUGGAGACCCAGGAAAGAUGGGGAUGUAGUUCCAAUCCAGACUCCAAGGCCUGAGCCCAGGGAAGCUAGUGUUGUGAAUCUUAGUCCGAGUGUGCAGUCCUGACAAGGAAUUCGGAAAAGAUGGAUAUCUCAGUUGUCUGAAAGACUGAUUGGAUGAUGCCCACCCACAUCAAUGAGGGUGAUCUUAGUUUACUGAUUCAAAUGCUAAUGUCAUUUAGAAACAGCCUCACUGACCUAGCAUCUGAGCAUCCCGUAACAGUCAAAAUGACACAGCAAAUUAAUUAUCAGCAUUUUUCAGGGGAGCCCAUGCAGAUGGCUUGCAGAGUGGUGGCUCAGUCACACUGGAGCAGGGCAGAAGACUAAAUGGGAUGUCACCAAGAAAAAAAAAAUGAAAUUUGCAAUUCACCAAUGUGGAUGACCAUUUUUAAAAAUUUUUAUUUUCUUUAUUUGAAGACAGAGCGACACAGGGAGAGAGAGAGUUCUUCUUCCUGCUGGUUCACUAUCCCAAGAAGGCCAGAACUUCAUCUGGGUUUCCCACAACUUCAUAUGGGUGACAAGGAUCCAAGUUCUUAUGCUAGCAUCUUCUGACUGCCCAGAUGUAUUAGCAGGAAGCUAGAUGGGAGGUAGAGCAGCCAGGACUCUCCUCAGCCAGUGCUCAUAGAUCCGAUACAGGUGUCAAGCUGUGCCCCAAUGCCUGUCCCUUGGCCAUGAUUAUUUUUAAAGUUUUGUUUGUUUAGUUAUUUGAAAAGUUAAGUGACAAAAAGAUUUUUUUGCCCUCUAGUUUACUCCUUAAAUGCCCACAACUGCCAGGGCUGAGCCAGGCCAAAGCCUGGAGACAGAACUCAAUCCAGGGCUCUCACAUGGGUGGCAGGGACCCAAGUAAUUGAGCGAUCAUCUACUGCUUACUAGGCGCAUUAGGAGGAAACUGGAUCCCAGGCACUCUAAUAUGGGGUACAGUGUCCCAAACAGCUUGCUCCAUGGGUGACCAUAUUGAUACCACACAAACAGUUUUAGUGGAGAGUUCAGGGAAGAACUGGUGACAAGCACAUAGAAACUUAAGCAAAUGGGGGUAAAUGAAAUAAUUAUUAAUACUAAAAAUCUAAAAUGUUGGAUGAGGAAGGAAAUAUAGAAUACAAAAUAGAUUAACUGCAUACCACAAAGUGAUGGAAAGUACAGAGGGUGAUAAAACACUUUAUUUUUAUUUAGUUGUAAACCUUGUAAUGCUAUUUGAUGUUUUAAAAGAAUAAAUUUUAAUAAAAAUGAAACGUAAUGAUAAAAUUAAUAACCAGAAUAUUGUAUAGUGUUUAAUAUAUUUUGAAAUCUUCAACUUUUAUUAGCCUUGUAUGUAUUUAUUUAAGAUUUAUUUAUGGGGCCAGCUCCAUGGCACAGUAGGUUAAUCCUCUGCCUGCGGCACCGGCAUCCCAUAUGGGCGCUGGGCGCUGGGUCUAGUCCCAGCUGCUCCUCUUCCGAUUCAGCUCUCUGCUGUGGCCUGGGAAAGCAGUAGAAGAUGGCCCAAGUCCCUGGGCCCUUGCACCACAUGGGAGACCUGGAAGAAGUUCCUGGCUCCUGGCUUCGGAUUGGCACACCUCCGGCCAUUGUGGCCACCUGAGGAGUGAACCAAUGGACGGAAGACCUUUCUGUCUGUCUCCCUCUCACUGUAACUCUAUCUCUCAAAUAAAUAAAUAAAAUCUUAAAAAAAAAAAAAAAAGAGAUUUUUCCAUCUGCUGGUUCAGUGCCCAAAUGGCCACAAAGAGACUGGAACUUUAUUCAGGUUUCCCACUUUAGGAGACAGGGGCCCCUGCACCUGCAUGGGAGACCAGGAGAAGGCACCUGGCUCCUGUCUUCGGAUCGGUGCAGCGCCGGCCGUAGGCGGCCAUUUUGGGGGGUUAACCAACGGAGGGAAGACCUUUCUCUCUCUGUCUCUCUCUCUCACUGUCUGUAAACUCUGCCUGUCAAAUAAAAAAUAAAAAUAUCUUAAAAAAAAAAAAAAAAGAGAGACAGGGGCCCAAGUACUUGGUCUACUUACUCUCUUCCCAAGCACAUCAAUAGGGAACUGGGUUAGAAGUGGAGUAGCAAGGACUUGAAUCAGUGUUCCAAUGUGGGAUGCCCAUUUCUCAAGUGGUAGCUUAACUCACUGAGCCACAACAUCAGCCACAGCCUUGUAUUUUCAAUUUGAAAUGUUUGCUUUCGGGAUUUGGACAUAAAGGAUAUUAAAAAUCUUGACUGCAAAAACUAUGUGAAUGUUUGAAAGCACAGACUUACUAGGUUUGAAGUAAUUUUUAGUUAUUAAACAAUUUUCAUUUGUUAGAUUUAUUAAUUUGCAUUAUCAGAUGUUUGAAUCCUAGGAACUGUAGUCAUUCCAUGGGUUUGCUACCUUUGAUUGAAUACUCAGCUCUGGUUCCAUCAACUGUGCGUUAUGGAAUAGAGGUAAUGAUUAACCUAGGGCUCUGAUAGGACUGUGGGCAGAACAUCUUCCUUUAGAAAGGGCUGAGCAUUGGGACUAGUGCUGUGGCAUAGUGGGUUGGCAUAUCAUAUGGGUGCCAGUUUAAGUCUAGGCUGUUCCACUUCUGAUUCAGCUUCCUGCUAAUGUGCCUGGGGAAGCAGUGAAAGAAAGCUCAGAUCCUUGGGCCUCUGCACCUACAUGUGAGACCUGGGUAAAGCUCCUGGCUCUUGGCUUCAGCCUGGCUCAGCCCUAGCUGUUGUGGCCAUUUCAGGAGUGAACCAGCAGUUGGAAGACCUCUCUCUGCCUCUCCCUCUCUGUAACUCUUUCAAAUAAACAAAUUAAUCUUUUAAAAAAAAUGAAAUGAAAUAAAGGCUGGGCAUGGCAGACAAUGCAUUUGGUGUAUGUAGUAAAAUAUAUUACGUAUAUAUUUGGGGAAGACCUUUCAGUUUCCAUAGGAGUAGCAACUGGACGUGGGAAAGCACUGAAGUAAAUGUCAGAAGCUCUGGUUUCUAAUCAUAGCAGGGCCACCAUGUGAUAGUGUGAUCUUGAGAAUAUCAGUCUUGCUCUAGACCUGUUUCCUCAUCUGUCAACACCACUGAAUAAGGUCUGUACAUGAAAAUUACUUAACCAUAAUUAAUUACUGUACUCAUACAGUAAGUAAUAUAGCAUAUAUUUAUUUAAAUACAAAUUCCCUUGAGCUUCAUAGAUUUAAUAAACCAGAAUCUGUGAAAAGGCCCUGGGAAUCUACAUUUGAAAACUUUCUUGUGAUUCUAACUCAGCCAGCCUGACCUGUGUUUGGGGUUCAAAAUGUGAUUGUUAGGGUCUCUUCCUCCUAAAAUUCUUUUUCUUCGCAAAACUGCAGAGAUGUGUUAUUGAGGGAAUUAUUUCCAUUAUAAAAAGAUAAAGUGUCCUUGCAUAAAGGGCAACAUUUCUAGCUGAUUUUAAAAUUCAUGUCAGGGGCCAACAUUGUGGUAGAGCAGGUGAGCCUGCUGCCUUGGAGUGCUGGUUUGAGUCCUGGCUGUUCUACUCAGGUCCAGCUCCCUGCUAAUGCAACUGGGAAAGUAGUGGAAGAUGGCCCAAAUACUUGAGCCCCUUUCACCCAUGUGGAUGACCCGAUGGAGUUCCUGGCUCCCAACUUAAGCCUGGCCCAGCCCUGACCAGUGUGGCAAUUUGGGGAGUGAAGUAGUGAAUGGAAGAACUCUCUCGCUUUCUGUCUCUCUCUCCUUUUCUCUCCUCUACGCUCUGUCACUCUGCCUUUCAAAUAAGUAAACACAUAAAUCUUAAAAUUAAUGUUAUAAUUAUGAGGUGUAGGUAAGGAAGAAAAAAGUUUUAGGAGCUACUUUGGGAAGGAAAAUAUGGUUCUAAUUAGCAAUCCACUUAUACUCAACAUAUAAAAUAUUAAAGAAUCAACUAUUAUAUAAUGAAAAAUCCCCAAAAUGUUUCCCCCUAACUGGUAAGUCCCAGAAUAUUAAACUUGGGAGACAUCUAGAAGUCCAAUUCCUUCACUUGACAAAAGAGAAAAUGGAGUGGUAUCCUAUAUCUCAAAGAAGACUAUUAGCACAAAGGAGGGAGAAGUGCUUUUGCCUUUAUGCCUAUGCCAGGUUAUUAAAUCACUGUGUCUCUUAAUUAAGAAUUGCUCUUCCUGUGGAAGCACCCUUCACCUGUUGCUUCCUCACUUUACUUCCUGCCACAGAUGAAGAGGAACUUUCAGAUUAGAACAGGAAGGUUGCGUCCAGACAAAUCCCAGUGAAAGCCAGCUCAACCACUCAUGGUCCAAAAUCUGUAUUAUUGAAGAGUUCUCCAGAGAAACAGAAGUAAUUAUAUAUAACUUGGAAUUAGUUCAUAUGAUUAUGGAGGCUAAGAAGUCCCACCAUCUUCUGUUUGCAAGCUGGAUAACUAAGGAAAAUCCGUGACACAAUUCAGUUCAAGACCUGAGAACAAGAGAUCUGAUGACACAACUCAAUCUGAGUCCAAAGAAAGGCAAUCAGUUAUCUUAGGUUAAGUCACUCAGUCUAUUCCACAGCCCAUUCUAAGAAGAAAUGGCACCCAUCUUCUGUGAGGUGAUAAUGAGUCCAGGUAACAAGUUUUAUUUCACCAUGACCUCAAUACUACUUUCCUUCCUCCACCCACAACAUGUGGUUGGUUGGGCCAGGGACUGUUUGUUUAUUUAUUUAUUUAUUUCUUAUUUUUAUUUUUGACAGGCAGAGUGGACAGUGAGAGAGAGAGACAGAGAGAAAGGUCCUCCUCUGCUGUUGGUUCACCCUCCAAUGGCCACCGCGGCCGGCGCGCUGCGGCCAGCACACCGCACUGAUCUGAAGGCAGGAGCCAGGUGCUUCUCCUGGUCUCCCAUGGGGUGCAGGGCCCAAGUACUUGGGCCAUUCUCCACUUCACUCCCUGGCCACAACAGAGAGCCAGCCUGGAAGAGGGGCAACCAGGACAGAAUCUGGCACCCCAACUGGGACUAGAACCCGGUGUGCCGGCGCCGCAAGGCAGAGGAUUAGCCUAGUGAGCCACGGCGCCGGCCGGGACUGUUGUUUUAAUGAAAGGAAUCCAAUCAGAAAGUUGGUCAGAGGUACCAUCAACCUUGCAUUUAAAUAUGAACUUGACCUCUGAGAUACUCAGCAGACUCAUAGAAUGGCAGAUGUCCUAAAUAGCACUCUGGCCUCAGAAUCAGCCCUAAAGGCAUUCGGAUCUGGCUGAAAAGCCCAUGAGAGUAUUUCAGGCAUGGAAAGCCAAGACACUCUGGCAAAAGAUCUCUGUGAGUGAGAUCUCAGUGGAAAGAACAGGUCUUCAAAGAAGGAGGUACCUUUCUCUGAAGGGAGGAGAGAACCUCCACUUUGACUAUGACCUUGUCUAAACAAGAUAAGAAUCGGAGAACUCAGAGGGCUUCCAUAGCCUUGGAAACUCAUGACUGGAGCAUAGGGAGAUUACUGAUGCCAUAGACAGGAGUGUCAAUUGGUAAAGUCAACAACAGGAGUCACUGUGCACUUACUCCUCAUGUAGGAUCUCUGUCCUUAAUGUGCUGUGCAUUGAGAUUUAAUGCUAUAACGAGUACUCAAACAAUAUAUUUCACUUUGUGUUUCUAUGGGGGUGCAAACUGUUGAAAUCUCUACUUAAUGCAUACUAAACUGAUCCUCUGUAAAAAAAAAAAAAAAAAAAGAAAUUAUCAACUCCCAACUUGACUCUCACUGGGAUUAAACAUGACAAUAGGUCUGAUCUGAUUUCAUCAUCAUUUAAGAAAAAUCAUCUAUUAUUUUUCACUUUAUGUUUCUGUGUGGGAGCAAACUGUUGAAAUCCUUACUUAAUGUAUACUAAGCUGAUCUUCUGUAUAUUAAGAUAAUCGAAAAUGAAUCUUGAUGUGAAUGGAAGGGGAGAGGGAGUGGGAAAGGGGAGGGUUGUGGGUGGGAGGGACGGUAUGGGGGGGAAGCCAUUGUAAUCCAUAAAUCGUACUUUGGAAAUUUAUAUUCAUUAAAUAAAAGUUAAAAAAAAAUAUGAACUUGACCUCCUCAAUUUAUUUUUUCAAGAAAGUACUAGAGAAUAUUCUUAUUUUAAUAAUGAGAGUUGAAGGUAGAAGUAAACAAUGAGGAGGGGUAGUAACCAGCCAUUUGCUAAAAACAGGGGAAAAAAAAGUAUAAGAAUAUGAGUAAGCUGAGGAAAUGAGAGCUAAAGAGAGAUUGAACAGAUGCAGGAGAAAGUUGGGAGUGCUCAUGUGACUAAUGAGAGAGCUAUUUUAAUUCAUGAUGGCUUUCCAAACCAUGCGCCAAACUCUACACCUCCAUUUUUUUUCUGUAGGAAAUUGAGUCUUUUUGUUAAUUAUAUGAUUCUGGCUGCAAGUGAAGAAAAUCCAACUGAAGGCAGUUUAUACUAGUGAUAUUUAUUUUUUCACAUAACAUGAAGUCUGAAGACCUAGAUGGCUUCAGGAUCGUUCAAUGGUAUCAUCAGGGGUAUAGUUCAUUUAUUUUUUUUAAAAGAUUUAUUUAUGUAUUGGAAAGUCAGAGUUACACAAAGAGAAGGAGAGGCAGAGAGAGAGAGAGAGAGAGAGAAAGAUCUUCCAUCUGUUGGUUCACUCCCCAGUUGGCUGCAAUGGCCAUAGAUGUGCUGAUCUGAAGCCAGGAGCCAGGAGCCUCCUCCAGGUCUCCCACGUAGGUGCAGGGGCCCCAGGGCUUGGGCCAUCCUCCACUGCUUUCCCAGGCCAUAUCAGAGAGCCAUAUGAGAGGUGGAGCAGCUGGAUCAUGAGCUGGUGCUCAUAUGGGAUGCCGGCACAGCAGGCGGUAGCUUUACCCACUAAACCAAAGGGCCGGUCCCACAGUGUCAUUAUAUACCUUUUCUAUUUGAUAUAUUCAACAUUUUGGCUUUUUAAAAAAAUUUAUAUAUUUAUAUAAAUAUAUAUGUUUUAUAUAUUUAUGUAUUUACUUAUAUAUUUAUUUCAAAUGCAGACUUACAUUAUAUUUUGUAUAUUUAUAUAUAAUAUAUAAUUUAGUAUCAAGAAUGAUACUAAAUGAUAAUAAAUUACAUAUAUAUUUUAUAUAUUUAUAUAUUUAUUUCAAAUGCAGACUUACAGAGAGAGAAGAAGAAUCAGAGAGAGAUAGAGAUUUUCUAUCUACUGGUUCAUUCUCCAGAUGGCCACAAUGGCCAGCGAUGGACCAGGCAGAAGCCAGGAGCCAGGAGAUUCAUCUGGGUCUCCCACAUUGGUGGCAGGGGCCCAAACACUUUGGUCAUCCUCCACUGCUUUUCCCAUCCGUUAGCAGGGAGCUGGCUUGGAAGCAGAGUAGCAGGGACACAAAUUGGUGCCCAUAUGAGAUGCUACCCUCACAGGCAGCAGCUUUAUCUGCUUCACCGUGAAUGUUGGCCCCAACAUUUUGGCUUUUGACUAAGGCAUAUUUCUUCAUGGAUGUCAUGCGCCUUUAGCAGCUCCAUUAUCAGCUUUAUCUUCUUGGAGAUAUAUCUCUUACAAUCUCCUGACUUGUGCCAAUAUGAGCUGGUUUUUCGCCUUAGUCCUGUGGCUUUCCUGUCAUCCUGAGGUUCUUCAUGCUAGAGCUAGUUCUUUUUCUUAUGGUGAAUCCCUUGCUUUUGGAUUUCUUGUUUUCAAGUUUCUUUUUUUUUUCUUUAUUUUGAUGGAGUGCAUCCUCCAAUAGUUUUCUGAGAUAGGGUAUAUGGAAGGUAAAUGUUUUGAAUAGUUGAAAACAUAUUUGAUCCUUAUAUUUUAUUGAUAGGAUUGGUAUAGAUUGUUAUUCCACUCAGAAGUCUGAUGCAUUGCUCUACAACCUCUCUACUUCUAAUGCUACUGUAGAAAAAUCUGAUGCCAUUGUGGUUCUUGAUCCUUAAUAAGUAAUAUAACUGCCCAACCUUUAAUUUUUGAAAUUUCAUAGUAUAUAUCUUUUAGUAAUUUCAUCCUGCAAUAAGGAUCAUAAAUAGAGUGGCUUAUAAACAGCUUAAAUGUUGUCUCACAGUGCUGAAGAUUGAAAAGUCCAAGAUCAAGGCAGCAUCAGACUCAACAUCUGGUAAAGGUGUUCAGGCUCCUAGACAGUGCCUUCUACCUCUGUUGGGUGGUAGAAAAGGUGAGCUAGCUCACUGGGCUGUCUAGUGAGAUGAGUGGACUAAUCUCAUUUAUGAGGGUAAAAUGAAAAUGACCUAGGAAUCUCCCAAGGUUCCAUUUACUCAUAUUAUAUCCUUGGUGCCUAGGUAAAUGUAUGAAUGGAGGGUGCAGGUGAACAUAAAAUUUAGACCACAGAAGUGCCUUAGUGUGGAUCUAUUUUUAUUCAUGUGUUUGGUACUCAGUAGAUGGAAUUUUAUGAUCUACAGCACUGGAAAUUUUUAAAAAAUUGAUUAUAUUCUUUUUUCCAUGGUUUCUUUAUGAUUUUUCAUUAUGUUUUCUAGAAAUUCCAUUAUUUCAAUACUAAGUCUUUUUUGUUACAAUAUUUGCUUUCCUACAUCCACAUUUUCCCAUUCUUUUUGUUCUAUUUUUGGGGAGAGAUUCAUCAGAUUUAUCUUCCAGUCUUUUCAUUGAAAAUUUUUUAUUUUUGAUAGCUCUUUUCUUUUCUUUCAAAUUCUCUCCUAUCCUUUUUAUAAAAAUAGAAACUUAUUUUAUUUUAUGGAUGCAAUGAAGACAUUGAUUUCCCUGAAGUUUUCUUCUCCCUGUGUCAUAACUGUAUUCACAGUUGCUUUUCUAUAUGUCUUUUGGACUGUGCCCAUUGUGUUAGAGCUUCUCUUAAAUGAUUAAAUGUUAGAGCCUCUCUUAUAAUCCUUUAAGAGAGGAAUCCUUAAUAACAUGACCUUUAAUUUUUUUUCUUGGACAGGACAGAUUAUCAGGAGAAGACUCUCCAGUCUCCUUCCUGAUGUCUUGGUUUCUUGAAUUAUCCUUUCACGUCAUGGGGCUUGUAAGGCGCUUGCUGCCAAAGGAGCCGGAAGGUUCCCUGCUUCUACCAGCUGAGGGCUAAAGAAGCUUCUGCUGUAAGCCUGCAUGUUCCACUAUCAUCCUUUAGAUAAAGAACUGAUGGUUGCUCUCCCUGGGAUCUCCCACUUCUUUGGAGAACAGCUAUCGCAAUGGGCUUCAAAUUAAUCAACGAUCUUCCCAAAAUCAAGUUGGCAACAUUUAAAACUACCAGAUAAGUAUUUUUCAGUAUUUCUGUAGCAUCGCACUCCUAGCCCAAUCCUUUAUUUUACCUUUCCCAAUCCUUUAUUUGACUUUAUCUAUCUCACAAGACUGCUCUGAAAAGUGGGUUUCAAACUUCAUCCUAGGAUUGUAGUAGUGUACUCUGAAAAUAAGAAUUGUGUUUGUUUUUUCAGCCAUUGUCUUUUCUAGCACCUAGCACAUUUUCUAAGGCAGAAUAAGAGUCUUGUGAAUAUUUGUUGAAUCAAUGAAUGAGGUGACUCUGGUCGCUGACAAAUGUAACUAGAGAAGAAUAACAUAUCCUCUCAAAUCAGCAGCAUCAUGGUUAUCUUCUUACCAUGUUGGUGUCCCAAAAUUUACCAAUGGCCGGAGAAAAACAAUCUGGAGUGGAAAUGUCAAGAGCAAAGAUCCAGAGAAAAGGAGAGAUGAGAGAAAAAGCAUCCUGGCAGCGUCCCGCUCUGAUUUUGGACAGCCUUGUUGAUAAGAAGGUCUGUAUUUUACUGAGAUGAAAACAUCAUUCUUCAUAAUCAUCACUGUUGGCUUAUGAUUUGUCUCAACACAUGUACGUCCAAUGUUCACCCAGCACUCACCAAAGCAACACUUGACACCAAGACUUCAAAAAUUAGAUCAGGUAAUGUUGAUGACAUAGAGGUUUAUAUUUCCAGGGAGACUAAUCCAAAUGAGUCUUUGGUGGGGGAGUGGAGAAGGGCAAAGGCUCCUGUAAGGGACUCGGAACAGCCAAGAAGCAAGAUGGCUUUGAAUGAUAGUUGAAGAUAGCAAGUGUUCCAAGACAAGCUUCACUUCUAUCCCCACUCCUUGGGUUCUCUUUCACCUGAGCAACGUGGGCAUUAGAAUUCACUGAGCUCUGGACUACUAGUUAUUAAAUCUAAGAUUUGAUCCCAGCCUAGAAUUAACUAGUUAUGUCAUCUUAAGAAGAUCAUGUAAGCUUUUCCUAUCUCAGUUUCCUCAUCUAUAAUAUUCUAUCAAUAUUGCUUAGUUUUCCCAUAUCAUAGGAUUGUGUCAAGAAUCAAAUGGGAUAAUGCACCUGAAUUUAGAAAGGAUAAGUGGUCUGAAAAAUAUAUAUCAGGUUACAUAACCUCUCCAUGCUUCCACAUUCCUUUUUUUGUCUAUUUUCUUUGCAUUAUAUAAAUACUUGUCAGCUUUUGUAUAAUGUUAAAUUUUCAUAAUUCUAAGGUGCCUCCUAUACUUUUAAAAAUAUAGUGUGGACAAAGUAUAAAUAUAUACAAAAUCAACAUUUAAUAGAUGUUUAUAAUUAUAAUCUUGGGGAAAUAUGUUAGGAGAAUUACAUGUGGAAUAUAUUAUAAAGAACAUUAUAUAGAGAAUUAUAAUAGUGAGAAUAUAUUAUAUUAGUGGUCUAGAUCUUGGCAUAAGCACUUUAAAAGUGCUGCUUUCUUUUCAAAAUGGGAAAAUCUUUUACCUUGAAAUGUGUGUUCCAAACCCAGUUCUAUAAAAAGAAACUCACCAGGAGUUGGCUGCAGAGUUGAUGUUCACAGGAUGCAACUUUGCUACCUGGAAUUGAGGCCUGUCAGUGAGCUGGUGGUAUCUACUGUGUGGUUUCUUUUUAUUCUAUUUAAAAUUGCAAUCUGUAGUCAUUUGUAAGUCAUGAUUAUUAUCGUCUGUUCCUGGCAAAAACUAUGUGAGGUGGUCUGUUAGGACUAUUCUUUUUCUGCAGUUGGUUAAACAGAAUACUGGGAGACAUGGGUGUGUAAAAUCCAAGCAGGAAGGAAAAAGACUUGGGUUCUUUGGGCAUCUGGGUCCAUACCUCUUAUUUGACCUUAAGCUAGUAAUUUUUUUUUGACAGGCAGAGUAGACAGAGAGAGAGAGAGAGAGAGAGAGAGAGAGAAAGGUCUUCCUUCCAUUGGUUCACCCCCAAAAUGGUCGCUAUGGCCAGCGUGCUGUGCUGAUCCAAAGCCAGGAGCCAGGUGCUUCUUCCUGGUCUCCCAUGCAGGUGCAGGGCCCAAGCCCUUGGGCCAUCCCCCACUGCCUUCCCGGGCCACAGCAGAGAGCUGAACUGGAAGAGAAGCAACUGGGACAGACCCCUGACGCUCCAGGCUCCAACCGGGGCUAGAGCCCGGGGUGCCGGCGCCACAGGCGGAGGAUUAGCCUAGUGAGCCACGGCGCAAGCCUGACCUUAAGCUAGUAAUUUAAGAUCGCUGAAUCCCAGUUUUCCCAUCUGUCAAGUGGGGAAAAUAAUGCCAGCUACUGAACAGCAUUGUAAUAAUAAUAAAUGUAUUAAAUUAUAUAGCCCUAAGCUUAAAACUUGGCUCAUAUUAUUGCAGUUAAUAGACUAUUCUUUACACACACCCUUUCGUUUGAGUAAAGCUGCAGCCCCAGCUUUGCUCAAAAGAAGAUAUUUUGUGUUAUAGAAAUAGGUCUGAUCUGAUUUCAUCAUCAUUUAAAAAAUCAUCUAUUAUUUUUCACUUUAUGUUUGUGUGGGAGCUAACUGUUGAAAUCUUUACUUAAUGUAUACUAAACUGAUCUUCUGUAUAUUAAGAUAAUCGAAAAUGAAUCUUGAUGUGAAUGGAAGGGGAGAGGGAGUGGGAAAGGGGAGGGUUGUGGGUGGGAGGGACGGUAUGGGGGG